UGUGCAAAAGGCGAAUAAAGAAAGUGAAAGCAUGUUGUUGCGGAUGGUGCCCGGAGGACUUUUAUUAUGAAAGUAUAGAUCGCCGCUGGCCGGAAAAAAAAGUGCUUUCACUCUAGCGAUCGCUAGAUCAUCGCAGCCAUUGCUCACGUGCAGUCCUCCAUCUGUUAAGAGCCACAGACGGACACUGCAGCUCCCUUUCGUGACAGAAGAUUGUUUAUGGUGUUGUGUGCGUCCUAUAAGAAGAAACCACACCCCCUAUAAACCCUACAAACAUCCCUAAGUGCUCAGAUCAAGGAUCUAGUGUUUCAGUUCAUACAAGCAAGCGCACGCCAAGUCAUCUUCUCAUUGGCCUAAAUGUUGAUGUACUAAGCCCUACGGACUUCAGUGGAUGCUUUAAAGCUGCUCUGCCCAUACUAUCAAUGUUUGCUGCUGGAUUAGAGCUCACUCCCCAUCCUGUUAAUUCUUACUGAUUGAUAGCUGUACAGGCUGGCUCCCCCCCUUUGUGGACAAUUUGCAGUUUGCAAUAAACCCUGUUUAACUUGA